rnacentral:tRNA from 1 species
UAAAAGAUAAGCUAAAUAAGCUUGCGGGUUCAUACCCCGCCGAUGAAGUAUUCUCUUUUAA